AGCCAAUCAGCGUCCCCGCGGCUCCGGGUUAUAAGUCCUCCGCGGAAGCGCCGGGACUCAGCCGCUCCCCAAACUGCCAGGAUGCGGGUGCAGAGGCCCCCCACCCUCCUCCUGCUGCUCUCGGGGGCGCUGGUCCUGACCCCCAGCGGGGCCGGCCCCCACUCCAUGAGGUUUUUCCGCACCGCUGUGUCCCGGCCCGGCCGCGGGGAGCCCCGCUUCCUCGUCGUCGGCUACGUGGACGACACGCAGUUCGUGCGGUUCGACAGCGACGCGCCGAGUGGGAGGAUGGAGCCGCGGGCGCCGUGGAUGCAGCAGCCGUGGGUGGAGCAGGAGGACCCGGGGUAUUGGGACCGGGAGACGCAGAUCCAAAAGGAGAACGCACACAAUUACCACGUGGGCCUGCAGAACCUGCGCGGCUACUACAACCAGAGCGAGGACGGGUCUCACACCUUCCAGUGGAUGUCUGGCUGCUACAUGGGACCCGAAGGGCGCCUCCUCCAUGGGUACAGUCAAUACGCCUACGAUGGCACUGACUACAUCGCCCUGAACGAGGACCUGACCUCCUGGACCGCGGCCGACAUGGCGGCUCAGAUCACAAAGCGGAAGUGGGAGGCGGAGCGUUGGGCUGAGCAUGACAGGAGCUACCUGGAGGGCCGGUGUGUGGACUCACUGCGCAUGUACCUGGACAAGGGGAAGGAGACCCUGCAGCGCGCAGACCCUCCAAAGGCACACGUGAGCCACCACCCCGUCUCUGCCCGGGAGGUCACCCUGAGGUGCUGGGCGCUGGGCUUCUACCCUGCGGACAUCAGCCUGACCUGGCAGCGUGAUGGGGAGGACCAUACCCAGGACAUGGAGAUGGUGGAGACCAGGCCUGCGGGGGACGGCACCUUCCAGAAGUGGGCGGCCGUGGGGGUGCCCCCUGGAGAGGAGCACAGAUACACGUGCCAUGUGCAGCACGAGGGGCUGACCGAGCCCCUGACUGUGAGAUGGGGUGAGGAGGGCCGUGGGCACAGAGCCUCUUCUCAGAGCCGCCUCCUCAGACCUUCAUCUUCAUCAUCCUGGGCAUCGCUGGGGGCCUGGUCCUGCUGGGAGCUGUGGCUGGAGCUGUGAUGUGGGGGAGGAGGCGCUCAGGUGGAAAAGGAGGGAGCUACGCUCCGGCUGCCAACAGUGACAGCGCCCAGGGCUCUGAUGUGCCUCUCUCGGCUUCUAAAGCGUGAGGCCGCUGCCCUGUGGGGACUGAGUGAUGGAAGGUGUGUUCCCGCUCCCACUUCCUGACUCAGGACCCUCUGAUGGGGGCUGGCCCCGCCCUGCCCCCCACACUUUCCUAUCAGCAGAGGUGGCUGGGCUCUCCAAAUCCCCAUCCCUGCCUUUCCUCCCUGGGGCUCUGAGCUGCUACUUCCUGCUCCGGAUUGAAAUGAGAUGCUGAUGUGACUGUUCAUUUCUUGCCAAAAAGGCGUGGAGGUUAUUAAAGGGGAAGCUCCUAAAUUCUGAGGGGAAAUAAAUUGAAGCUCCAAGAA